CUCAUUUGGUGCCUAUGCUAUUUGUGUAAUUACGAUUGUGGGCCCCAGGGGAGUGGGACACGAAGUCUGUCUGGACAUAUAUGAAGACAUGAAUAGAUACAUAUGUUUCUGCAGAGCAGUAAAUUAAACAUCCAUCUACUACCUCAUCUAUUCACAGGAAUAUUCUGUGAUAUAUCUUUCUCACCAUAGGCAGCUGCACUUACGUGUUUUCAUUCUGUGAAUCUAUUGCCUAAUUCUUUAAAAUGUCUCAGGUUUUUGCACUGUCAGAAUACUACAAGACUCACGCCAUUUACAUCACAUCUAAGAAACGCACUUGUACAGCGUGCGCUGGAGAUGAGUUUGUAGUGCAGCCUGCUAGUCAUGCUCCUCCUCCUCAGGUCCGCUCUGCGUGGCGCACACGGCCGCUAUUUAUACUAGGCUACCGCAGGAACAUGCCCAAAGUUUGGAGGUCAGGCAAAUGAGGUACCAAGAAGAGAAACGGUGAGCCCACAGUUACAGAGCUAGUGAGCUGUGGAAGGCGAAUUUCCACCUAGCACCACGGAUGCAGAGCCCACGCUCCAGACUGCGAUGCUGUGCUGUGUUGGUGUCCAAGACAAGGAGCAUCAUCUCUGUUUCAAAAUGUGGAAAAGAGUUACGAGCACCAGAAUCAAUGCUCCCUUCCCCACAGUCCACCAUUCCAUCAUGAUGCCUUUUACGGUAAUCCAUGUAGCAUGACUCAUGGUUACAAUCAUGCCACAGAUUCACCCAGAUCAAAGCAUUGCAGGCAUUCUGAAGCCCCGCAGAAACGUAAUCCCUUCCCAGAGAGACACCCAGAGCUGGCCCAGACAUUCAAGCAAUCCUGCUGUGAAAAAAUGAGAAAUGUAUAGAUUAAACCUCCAUGUCUAUCCCACACUCUAUACAAGGGAGACACUUGCUUAUACCUUCAGCUUUUCCACUUAGGCAAGAUGAAGGGCUAAUUGAAUACAGCUGGAAGUUAUGCCAUUUGUUCCAGAUGGGGCUGAUAUCUCCAACUCAGUAUUCCUAAGGCGAUGGCAACACACGGAAUUUUAUUCUGGUAGAAGCAAUAAUGUGUGUGUGAGUGUGAUGCUCUCUUGUCUGGUCUAUGAACAAAAAGCAUGUCAAUUGAGGUAAAUAUCUGAGUACAGAAAUGGGGUAAUUAUCUGCAUAAUCAAGCUUAAAACAUAUGCCUUUGACUCAAAACUCUGGUGAAUUUGAGCUCAUUUUUUGCUUUAAUAAACUGUUUAACUGCUUUACUUACUGAUUUCA
rnacentral:lncRNA from 13 species